CUAAAAUCACUGCAAAUGACUGUUAUUUCUCCGAAUAGCUUGAAAGAAUAGGUCAGCCUGGCUAAUACACUAACAGCACUCUUUUCUACAGAUGUGAUUUCCAUCACAUUUCUCCGUGCUUGGGCGCUGAGUGGCAUCUGUACUGGCAGGGAAAACAACUCCUUUUUGUUUUCUUCUUGUGGAGACCUCCGAAGAAGCAUUUAUGUGCCGAGUCCAUGAUUUGUUCUAUCAAGUAAGUCAUGCAUCUGUAAUAAAAGAAACGAGAAAGAUGGCUUUGAGUUUGAAAAUGUUGGUUGUACCCGCCCAGCAACACCUAAGGGGGAGGUCCUAUCCAGCUGUUUGACUAGCCCAUCUUUGGGAUUGGAGAAAUGGCUCAGCAGGUAAGAGCACUGGUUCCUCUUCCAGAGGUCCCAAGUUCAAUUCCCAGCAACCACAUGGUGGCUUACAACCAUCUAUAAUAAUGAGAUCUGAUUCCCUAUUCUGGUGUGCAUGAAGACAGGUCACUCAUAUACAUAAAAUAAUAUUAAAAAAUAGGACAAUGGAAUUUCUUAGUCCUUUACCAGAAAAGACUGAUACUGUCUGGCCAGAGAGUAGCCUUAAUAUCUUUUGGUCAAUUUAGAAGUAUUUCUAUACCCAAGCCCAGAAAUAUAACUGCUGACUAUGAGGGAGGGGUCCAUAUUUAGUGACCUUCAAGCCUGCUGACUAGCUCCUUGGAAAUGUCACAUUGGUUCAACAUGUGGAUCCAGUCUAUAGCAUUAAUCCAUAGCAUUUUCUCUGAAAGGGUGGGUCAUGUAUGCCAGAUUUAUUGUUUGUCAUCCCAACACCUAGUGCCUGGCAUUUAGUAGUUGUUUGUGUGACCAAAAGAAGGGAGAAAGCAGUUCACCCCAGGGACUUGAACAUUCAGCCUCCAUAGGCUGCAGGUCAAUGGGUAUCCUGUUGUAUUAAAGGCCAGCCACUCCAUCCUCCAUUGCCUCUUAGAUGCUGGUUUCUUUCUGUCCCAUAUUCCUCUAAUGGUGAUCACAUUAUAAAGGGUCCCAAGUCUCCCCUGCAGCCACCAGGACCCUCUGUGAACUGUGAAACACUUGAUUCUUCUCACAUGCCCUGAGCACACUUAACUGUAAUUACAGCUUCAUUUUCUAGAAGGGCACUAAUUAUCUUUAAUUCAUGGAUUAUACUCACUGCCCAGGAGCUAGAAACCGAAAGACACAUUUUGUAGCAGGGAGGAGUUCACUUUUUUUUUUUCCUCACAGUGGGUCCUGCUGAGUCCCUUUUACUCACUCACUCACAGGUCCAGCUCCCAACCCGAAUCACGAGAGGUCAUUCACCUCCGUCUCUAGGGAGUAAAAGAAAGGGGGAAAGCAUUCGGCUGUUCAGGGUUAAGGUUCAGAGAUUGUUCAUACCUUGGUUCAGUGUCUGAUCUUAUAGGUUUAGAGACUUACUUUACAGUUACCUUCAAUGUGGGAGUAGUCACUGACUCACAUUAAAGAGACUGAACCCAGGUUCUCUUUGCCUAAUGUGAGGCGUGGCAGGCAUUUGUAAUUUUAGCAUCAAACAAGAGACAAUGUUCUAGCUUGAGUUAGGCUUUGUCCCGGCUGUGCCUGGAUAAAGCAGACAGAACACAAAUUCUUCACCCUGCUUUUCAAAGAGUUUGAAGCUCAAAAAGAUUCCACCCACGUGUCAUGAUUUCCUAGACCUUGGUGUCUUUAUUUGUAAAAUCAGGAGGGUAAACAAAGGCAAUGUUUAACUGUGAUCCUGAAAUCAGAAAUUCAAUUGGCUGUAUCACAGAGGAACUUUCUAGAAAGGAUUUAUUUAUUUUUGUGUUUUGUGUGCUUGUGUGAGUUUAUGUCCACCAUAUGUGUGCAGGUGGCCAGAAGAGGGCAUUGGGUCCCCAGAACUGAACUGGAGUUCCAGGCAGUUGUGAGCUUCCUGGUAUGGGUGCUGGAAACCAAACCCAGGUCAGAGGAACUUUUUGGAAAAUAGUAGUAAUUUAAGUCAAUGAAAACUUCAAAUAAGGUUCACAAGUGACUCCAGUCUCAGGAGGCCUUCCUGUGACACUGUCAUUAAAAUGGAUUUUUUUGCAGUUAUAAUUUUUAAAAAAUAGAUUUAUUUAUUUAUUUAUUUAUUAUUUUACAUCCUGGCCAACAUUUCCCCUCUCUCCUCUUCUCCCAGUUCCUCCCUGCACCCCACCCCUUCUGUUCCCACUCCCAAUCUACUCCCCCUCCAUUUCUGUUCAGCAAAGGCCAGGUCUCCCAUGAGUAUCAAUAAAACAUGGCAUAUCAAGUUGCA
rnacentral:lncRNA from 1 species